AGAGUUUGAUCCUGGCUCAGGAUGAACGCCGGCGGUGUGCCUAAUACAUGCAAGUCGUACGCACUGGCCCAACUGAUUGAUGGUGCUUGCACCUGAUUGACGAUGGAUCACCAGUGAGUGGCGGACGGGUGAGUAACACGUAGGUAACCUGCCUCGGAGCGGGGGAUGACAUUUGGAAACAGAUGCUAAUACCGCAUAACAACAAAAGCCACAUGGCUUUUGUUUGAAAGAUGGCUUUGGCUAUCACUCUGGGAUGGACCUGCGGUGCAUUAGCUAGUUGGUAAGGUAACGGCUUACCAAGGCAAUGAUGCAUAGCCGAGUUGAGAGACUGAUCGGCCACAAUGGGAACUGAGACACGGUCCAUACUCCUACGGGAGGCAGCAGUAGGGAAUCUUCCACAAUGGGCGCAAGCCUGAUGGAGCAACACCGCGUGAGUGAAGAAGGGUUUCGGCUCGUAAAGCUCUGUUGUUGGAGAAGAACGUGCGUGAGAGUAACUGUUCACGCAGUGACGGUAUCCAACCAGAAAGUCACGGCUAACUACGUGCCAGCAGCCGCGGUAAUACGUAGGUGGCAAGCGUUAUCCGGAUUUAUUGGGCGUAAAGCGAGCGCAGGCGGUUGCUUAGGUCUGAUGUGAAAGCCUUCGGCUUAACCGAAGAAGUGCAUCGGAAACCGGGCGACUUGAGUGCAGAAGAGGACAGUGGAACUCCAUGUGUAGCGGUGGAAUGCGUAGAUAUAUGGAAGAACACCAGUGGCGAAGGCGGCUGUCUGGUCUGCAACUGACGCUGAGGCUCGAAAGCAUGGGUAGCGAACAGGAUUAGAUACCCUGGUAGUCCAUGCCGUAAACGAUGAGUGCUAGGUGUUGGAGGGUUUCCGCCCUUCAGUGCCGGAGCUAACGCAUUAAGCACUCCGCCUGGGGAGUACGACCGCAAGGUUGAAACUCAAAGGAAUUGACGGGGGCCCGCACAAGCGGUGGAGCAUGUGGUUUAAUUCGAAGCUACGCGAAGAACCUUACCAGGUCUUGACAUCUUGCGCUAACCUUAGAGAUAAGGCGUUCCCUUCGGGGACGCAAUGACAGGUGGUGCAUGGUCGUCGUCAGCUCGUGUCGUGAGAUGUUGGGUUAAGUCCCGCAACGAGCGCAACCCUUGUUACUAGUUGCCAGCAUUAAGUUGGGCACUCUAGUGAGACUGCCGGUGACAAACCGGAGGAAGGUGGGGACGACGUCAGAUCAUCAUGCCCCUUAUGACCUGGGCUACACACGUGCUACAAUGGACGGUACAACGAGUCGCAAGCUCGCGAGAGUAAGCUAAUCUCUUAAAGCCGUUCUCAGUUCGGACUGUAGGCUGCAACUCGCCUACACGAAGUCGGAAUCGCUAGUAAUCGCGGAUCAGCAUGCCGCGGUGAAUACGUUCCCGGGCCUUGCACACACGCCCGUCA
rnacentral:rRNA from 1 species